rnacentral:rRNA from 1 species
GACAGAGGGUGCAAACGUUGUUCGGAAUUACUGGGCGUAAAGCGUGUGUAGGCGGCCAAAUAAGUCGGAUGUGAAAGCCCCGGGCUCAACCCGGGAAGUGCACUCGAUACUGUUUGGCUAGAGUAUCGGAGAGGUUGGUGGAAUUCUUGGUGUAGAGGUGAAAUUCGUAGAUAUCAAGAGGAACACCGGUGGCGAAGGCGGCCAACUGGACGAAUACUGACGCUGAGACACGAAAGCGUGGGGAGCAAACAGG